GAUGAACGCUGGCUACAGGCUUAACACAUGCAAGUCGAGGGGAAACGACGGGGAAGCUUGCUUCCCCGGGCGUCGACCGGCGCACGGGUGAGUAACGCGUAUCCAACCUGCCUCUGACUGAGGGAUAACCCGUCGAAAGUCGGCCUAAUACCUCAUGGCAUCGUCUGCGGGCAUCCAACGACGAUUAAAGAUUUCAUCGGUCAGAGAUGGGGAUGCGUCUGAUUAGCUUGUUGGCGGGGUAACGGCCCACCAAGGCGACGAUCAGUAGGGGUUCUGAGAGGAAGGUCCCCCACAUUGGAACUGAGACACGGUCCAAACUCCUACGGGAGGCAGCAGUGAGGAAUAUUGGUCAAUGGGCGAGAGCCUGAACCAGCCAAGUAGCGUGCAGGAUGACGGCCCUAUGGGUUGUAAACUGCUUUUAUGCGGGGAUAAAGUGAGGGACGUGUCCUUCAUUGCAGGGACCGCAUGAAUAAGGACCGGCUAAUUCCGU
rnacentral:rRNA from 1 species